AGUGAGCGCUGGCGGUAGGCCUAACACAUGCAAGUCGAACGGCAGCACAGUAAGAGCUUGCUCUUACGGGUGGCGAGUGGCGGACGGGUGAGGAAUACAUCGGAAUCUACUUUUUCGUGGGGGAUCACGUAGGGAAACUUACGCUAAUACCGCAUACGACCUACGGGUGAAAGCAGGGGAUCUUCGGACCUUGCGCGAUUGAAUGAGCCGAUGUCGGAUUAGCUAGUUGGCGGGGUAAAGGCCCACCAAGGCGCCGAUCCGUAGCUGGUCUGAGAGGAUGAUCAGCCACAUGGGAGCUGAGACACGGUCCAGACUCCUACGGGAGGCAGCAGUGGGGAAUAUUGGACAAUGGGCGCGAGCCUGAUCCAGCCAUACCGCGUGGGUGAAGAAGGCCUUCGGGUUGUAAAGCCCUUUUGUUGGGAAAGAAAAGCAGCAGGUUAAUACCCCGCGGUUCUGACGGUACCCAAAGAAUAAGCACCGGCUAACUUCGUG
rnacentral:rRNA from 1 species